GGCUUGAUGGUGUAGUGGUAACAUCUCCUCUCUAUAUACGACAGGAUGAUGCAUUUCUGAGGAAGUCCCCUGUCCGACUCGGGGUCAGGCCA